GAAUAAGACUCAUUCAAGUUGACUUAAACAUUCUCCCAGGGUGACAUGCUAUAUGGUUCUAUCUGCGCAUUAGGAACUUGGAGACCAUUAAUGGACCCACCUGAGCUGAUUUAAGAAGCACUCUUCCAAGGCUAUGUGCUCUAGGGUUACAUCUGUGUCAUUGGUCACACUGACCAGUAAUGUUUGCAUUCCAGCUGAUUGAGGCACUCCUCCAUGGGCAUGUGCUCCAUGGUUAAACCUGUUUGUUAGCAGCAUAGAG